AGAGUUUGAUCCUGGCUCAGAAUCAACGCUGGCGGCGCGCCUAACACAUGCAAGUCGAACGAGAAAGGGGAGCAAUCCCUGAGUACAGUGGCGUACGGGUGAGUAACACGUGGGUAAUCUGCCUCUUAGUGGGGAAUAACGCUGGGAAACCGGCGCUAAUACCGCAUAAGCCCGAGAGGGGAAAGCAGCAAUGCGCUGAGAGAGGAGCCCGCGGCCGAUUAGCUGGUUGGUGAGGUAACGGCCCACCAAGGCAAAGAUCGGUAGCCGGCCUGAGAGGGCACACGGCCACACUGGCACUGAAGCACGGGCCAGACUCCUACGGGAGGCAGCAGUGGGGAAUCUUGCACAAUGGGGGAAACCCUGAUGCAGCGACGCCGCGUGAGCGAUGAAGCCCUUCGGGGUGUAAAGCUCUUUCGGCAGGGAAGAUGAUGACGGUACCUGCAGAAGCAGCUGCGGCUAACUACGUGCCAGCAGCCGCGGUAAUACGUAGGCAGCAAGCGUUGUUCGGAGUUACUGGGCGUAAAGGGUGUGUAGGCGGUUCUUUAAGUUUGGUGUGAAAUCUCCCGGCUCAACCGGGAGGGUGCGCCGAAUACUGAGGAGCUAGAGUGCGGGAGAGGAGAGUGGAAUUCCUGGUGUAGCGGUGAAAUGCGUAGAUAUCAGGAGGAACACCGGUGGUGUAAACGGCUCUCUGGACCGUAACUGACGCUGAGACACGAAAGCGUGGGUAGCAAACAGGAUUAGAUACCCUGGUAGUCCACGCCCUAAACGAUGCAUAUUUGGUGUGGGUCAUUCAGUUGAUC
rnacentral:rRNA from 1 species